rnacentral:rRNA from 1 species
AAGGCAGCAGUGGGGAAUAUUGCACAAUGGGCGCAAGCCUGAUGCAGCCAUGCCGCGUGUAUGAAGAAGGCCUUCGGGUUGUAAAGUACUUUCAGUCGUGAGGAAGGUGUUAAGGUUAAUAACCUUAGCAAUUGACGUUAGCGACAGAAGAAGCACCGGCUAACUCCGUGCCAGCAGCCGCGGUAAUACGGAGGGUGCGAGCGUUAAUCGGAAUUACUGGGCGUAAAGGGCACGCAGGCGGUUAAUUAAGUUGGAUGUGAAAUCCCCGGGCUUAACCUGGGAAUGGCAUUCAAGACUGGUUAGCUAGAGUCUUGUAGAGGGGGUAGAAUUCCAUGUGUAGCGGUGAAAUGCGUAGAGAUGUGGAGGAAUACCGGGUGGCGAAGGCGGCCCCUGGGACAAAGGACUGACGCUCAUGUGCGAAAGCGUGGGGAGCAAACAGGAUUAGAUACC